AAACAGCGUUUGACAUGCUUCGUAGUACGGUAAUGGAAUAUUUGGAAAUUUUUUGUCACGAAAUGCGCUCGCACGUCACCCUUUGGAUUGUGACCUGAACGCACGAACAAAACGGAGGUAUUUGAAUAUAACUAUGGAUUAUUUGGAACCAAAACAACAUUUGUUGUUGAAGUAGAAGUCCUGGGAGUGCAUUCUGACGAAGAACAGCAAAGAUUCUUCAAAUAGCCACCCUUUGCCUUGAAGACAGCUUUGCACACUCUUGGAAUUCUCUCAACCAGCUUCAUGAGGUUUUAUCUGGACAUGGUUCGUCAGGACUUCAAACAGCCGAAGCUAAGUAACAUUAACAUGAUGCCUUCUAAUUGCAGUCGUUGUACUUAUAAUAUACAGGAGAACGAUCGCCUUACGGCAAGGAUAGCUGUGCUGCAAGCCCAGCUUCAGACGCGAUCGUUAGGCAAGGGUAAUUUCAGUGUAGGAAAGGAUGAAACAGCGUCUGUGCCACCAGUAAGUACAGAUAGUAACGUUAGUAUAAACCCCCUCGCACGGUCCCCCGCAGCCGGACAUCUUUCUCAUGGCUUCUGGAGGGAAACGCUGUAGGAAUGCUCAACCGG
rnacentral:lncRNA from 1 species